rnacentral:rRNA from 1 species
UACGUAGGGGGCAAGCGUUGUCCGGAAUCAUUGGGCGUAAAGAGCGUGUAGGCGGCCAGAAAAGUCCGCUGUGAAAACUCGAGGCUCAACUUCGAGCUGUCGGUGGAAACUUUCUGGCUAGAGUCCGGAAGAGGAGAAUGGAAUUCCUGGUGUAGCGGUGAAAUGCGCAGAUAUCAGGAGGAACACCGGUGGCGAAGGCGGCUUGCUGGGCCAGUUCUGACGCUGGAGGAGCGAAAGCGUGGGGAGCGAACAGG